GCUUCAUCCACAGCUGGGACAAAAAGAACAACCCAGAGCCCUGGAAUAAACUAGGGCCCAAUGAUCAGUACAAGUUCUACGCAGUGAGCAUGGACUACAGCAAGCUGAAGAAGGACAGUCCUGACUUCUAAACGAAUCCAGGGAAUCCAGACGCCCGGUGCUGGACCAAAGGUUUAAAAACAAACUAAAGAACAAGACGUCCGCACACUUUUCCUCAACAGCCCUUGUUCCUAAUUUAUGCAAAGAAGACUAAAUUGCACAAUCUUGUCUUUGCUUUCCUGCAUCCCUCUUUAACAUCUAUGAUGUCUCUUGUAUUUUCUCUCAGUUCUUUGUAGUCAAAAACUAUUAGUAAAGGGUUUCUCCCACAUACAGUGAAAAACCA